GCUCCACGUGACCGCUCCCGCCUCCUUCCCCAGCCGAAGCCGUCACGUGAGGCGGUCGGGGCGCGGCCGCCAUGACGGGACAGGGGAGCCGGGUCAGGCUGGGAGCGUGGCGGCCGCUGAGAUGUGGAAGUUAAAGCACAGAAAGAUGAAGUUGUUUGUCUCAGGUCAACCAACAGAACACUGGCAGACAAAAAAUAGAACCAAGUCCUUCAGUGCUCACUCUGUUGCAUCACUCCAUCUUCCUGUUUUGAUAAGAACGUCUGAAACGUAAUUUUCAUUGUGCUGAGUACCCAGAGAACUGGGAAGACUUGACUGCUUUCUGUUUUAAGUAAUGAAGUUGGCUCAAAAUGGGAACCUAUCAG